UUAAAUAGAGGUUUUGUAAUUACUUAAUCUCAGUUAAUUGUACAAGAAAAUUUGCUGUAAAGCACAAAUGUUUUCAUUUUGAAGGUUUAGUGGGCAAGAGAACCAAAUAAUAGACAUGGACAUAAAUAUUGUAAAGUCAAGCUCUUUCAAUUUAUUAGGGAAAAAACAAACAUUUAAAUUGCAUUUCAGUGCAACACAGAGAAACAAAAACAAAAACAAUAUCCCUGGACAAAAUUGUAAUAUCUUUUUUGCUUCUGUUUUUCUUUGUGGGGGAAGCAGACCAUAAUUACCAAUGAUGGUAACUGGAGGAAAAAAGCAACAUCCUCAGCAGUCUGGAAGAAUCACACCCAUCAGAUUGACAUGUGAUAGCUACAUGUUUGCUGACUGGUUUUUCCUCAUGUCUGCAGGUUCCAUCAACCCCCUCCAUACUCUCCCCGGGGGGGGGCGACAGCACAACGGAGCCUGCCCCACCCCUCACCCACCCACCCCAAGUGGCAAAUGUGUGGGAUGAGGCAUGAAGGUAUUCCACCGUCACUUUCGUUGUCCUG